AACCUGUGUGGUCUGAAUCUAAAGUCCAAGCUCCAUCACUUAAGCAUUUUUUUUUUUUAAUGUCAGGAGUAAAGAGUUAAGACUCAUGUAUAGAACAUGCCUACCAAAAGCAAUAUUACUACUACUACUAGUAGUAAUAAUAAUAAUACGAAGGUAGUGGCAAACCCUUGAUGAACUCAUAGGACCUAUUGUGUGGCUUGUGUUAUACAAGAAUUUAGUAAAAAUUUCCUCAGUGUGAACUAUAAAAACACUUUAGGUUGCAUUCUGCAGCCAAUCGAUUAAAAUCAGCCAGUGUACAAAGAGCAGCCUCAGAUGUGAUGUAGACCUAUUAGGUUUCAGUAAAGAGGUCAGAAGGAGAUAGUUUCCAUGUAACUAGAGAAGGUUUGUUUCCUAGAACAUGAGGUUAAUGCCUUUCUGGGGAGCCUUUAGGGUUUUUCACAAACUUUCACAAACUUUGAAGGGAAAAGUGAACUGAACACCAAAAGACUACUUAGAAAUCUCCAAGUUUACAUGGAAAGCCCUUGAUUCACGUAUUGAUUGCUACAGUACCUAAUAUUUGCCACACAGGGCUUUGCCUAGAAACUGGAACCCUGGGCAGGGUCGAUGGGAAUGUAACAUAGUAUAGGCCCUGUGGAAAAUAAUAUGGUGGUUCCUCAAAAAACUAAAAAUGGAAUUACUAUUUCUAGAAAUUCUACUUCUGAGUAUAUACCACAAAGAAUUGCAAGUAGGGUCUUGAAGAAAUAUUUGUAUACUCAUGUUUAGCUUUAUUCACAGUAGCUAAAAUGCAGAAGCAAUGCAAAUGUCAACUGACAGAUGAAUGGGUAAGCAAAAUGUGGCAUGUACAUAUAACAGAAUAUUCUUCAGCUUUAGAAAGGAUGGAGAUUCUAGCAUAUACUAUACAUGCAUGGAUCUUGAAGACAUUAUGCUAAGUGAAAUAAGUCAGUUACAAAAAAUUACGUAUGAUUCCAUUAUAUACAGUACCUAGAGUAGUCAAAAUUAUAGAGACAGAGGAGUUCCUGUUGUGGCUCAGUGGUUAACGAAUCCAAAAAGGAACCAUGAGGUUGCGGGUUCGAACCCUGGCCUUGGUCAGUGGGUUAAGGAUCUGGCGUUGCCGUAAGCUAUGGCGUAGGUCACAGAUGAGGCUUGGAUCCCGCGUUGCUGUGGCUCUGGCGUAGGCUACAGCUCCGAUUCGACCCCUAGCCUGGGAACCUCCAUGUGCCGCGGGAGUGGACCAAGAAAUGCCAAAAAGACAAAAAAAAAAAAAAAAAAUCAUAGAGACAGAAAGUUGAAUAGUGGUCUUUAGAGGUUGGGGGAAGGCAAGAAUAGGGUAUACUGUUUAGUGGCUAUAGACUUUCAGCUUUAUAAGAAUGAAAGAGUUCUGGAGAUAAAUGGUAGUACUGGUUGUACAAUAAUGUAUACAUAAUAACCCUAAACUGUACAUUAAACACAGUUAAAAUGGUAAGCGUUAUGUUGUGUAUUUUGCCACAGUAAAUUUAAAAAAAAAAAAAACAAGGAAAAAACUCUACAAAUAUUUAUGUGUAAGGUUAUUAAGCAUUACUUAUAAUUGGAAUAAAAAAGUGCAAAUGAUCUCAAUGGUCAAUAAUAAUGGUUUAUUUAAGCAAAGUUUAUACAUUAUGCUUUAGAAUAAGGCUUAAUGCUAUGAAAAAUGGUUAAGUGCAUAUUAAUGGUAAAGCAGGUCACAACACUGGCAGUAAAUAGGGCAUGAUUUCAAUUUUGUGACACCUAGUGAGGUCACUUAGAACAGAAAACAUUUAGAAAGACAUACACUAAUAUUCUUUCUCCAUAUUUUUCCAGGUUAUAAAUAAUCCACAAUGAUCUAUAGUAAUUAUAAAUUGAUUUCAUAAUUAGAAAUUAUAUAUUAAAAUGUAAAAAAGUAUUUGCAAAUUAAAGAUACGAAUUAGUAACAAAAAAUGUGAACCAAAAUACGAGAGAAACAUAAAUGUCCAAUAAGCAUAUGAAAAGAAUCUAAUGUCACUGAUAAUUAAAUAAAUGUAAAUUAAAACUAUUACGAAUUAUUAAAUUGAGAAACAAAACACCCAAACAUCCGUAUGUGAAAAAUCCUAUAAACUAGGGAAAAAAGCCAACAGGGGGUUCUCGUGGCUCAGAGAGUUAUGAACCUGACUAAUUAUCUAUGACGAUGUGGGUUUGAUCCCUGACCUCACUCAGUGGGUUAAAGAUCUGGUGUUGCUAUGAGCUGUGUUAGAUCACAGAUGCAGCUUGGAUCCCUCAGUUUGAUCCCUAGCCUGGGAACUUCCAUAUACUGUGGGCAUGGCCCUUAAAAAAAUAGCAAAUGAGGAAAAUAUUUCUAACAAAUACUGUAGACCAAGUUAAAAACAUCAUCUACAAAUAUUUAGGAUAAGAUUAUGGAUCAUCAUAAAUUCAUAGAUAAAAAGGAUGUUACAGCACAUUUUCCUGUUGAAAGACAAAGAGAGAAAAAAAGAGAGAGAAAUGAAGCAACUGAGAAAGGGAGAACUAUAGCUAUAACUGCAAAAAGGAUGAAAAAUUUAAAAAGAAGAAACCUUGUGUACAAACUCAACAUCUUUCUGGAAGAGGUGGAGAAAUGAGACUUCUAGGUAGCAAUGAAUGGUAAUUUUAUUUUAAUAGGUUACUGUAAGCAUAUGUGAAAAGCUAUUCUUAAUACUACUUUCAAUAAUAUAUAAAGGGCUUUGCGUAUCUUAAUUUAUUUAAUCUUCACAAUUACCCAUAGGUUAAGUUGUGUGGUUAUCCCAUUUAUAGAAAGAUUUAGUGACUUGCUCAAGAUACUCAGCUGAUACCAGGCAGAAAUCUAGCUCUAACACCUGGGCCUUAGCCACUAGACUAUUUGGUCCCUCUUUGUGAUUAAAUUCAAAACACAGGCUAUUACUCUGAGUAAAAAUAUAAAUAUGUUCUGUAAUUCUACGCAUGGGAAUACAUUUUAAAACUAUUCAUUAAACACUUUUUACUUAGUGUUUUCUGCAAAAAACAAAGCAGUGGUAUUUUACCACAGGAAAAAUACGUAUUUUAAGCCCACCCACACUGAGAAGAUUAUUUCCACAUUAUACUUAUAAAGAAUUUUUAAAACUCAAGUUGUUAUUUUGAAAUAUUUUUCACUUUUCUAGCUUUCUAAAUCAUGUUUCACAUGAAGAUAAACCAUUAUAUUUCAGAAUUGCUUAGAAGAAAGCUUUGAAAGCAUUGAUAGCAUAGUAUUUUCCUUUACAUCUGAUUUGGGUUUUCUAUUUUGUGACCAUUUUAAUGUGAUACAGGUUAAAAUCAAAGUAUUCCACUCAUGUAUGGCAAAUGAUCACAGAAGGCUAAAAUCUUGUAGUAUGAUUUUUUUGUAGUGAUGUUCUGAUUUUGGAGAAAUUUUUGCCCAUUCCUCUAAGAGAUUUUUUGGUAUGUAAAACUGUGCUUCCAUGAAUGUUGAAAUAAUGUCAAGGAAAGAGUCAAAAGAGAUAAAAAGCCAACUGAUAAAAAGACAAAAUACCCAAAAUACAUUCAGGUGAAAGAGUGGAAUAUUUUGAUGGAGUUGCUGAAAUGUGGAUCCUUGUGGAUAAGAAUUAUUUGUUAUUCAAGUUUGUAAUCCUAGCACCUAGGAGAGCACCUGUCAAUAUGCUAGACAGGUUCAUUAAUUUCUUCCAUCAACAUUUAUUUUGAUGGUCUGCCUACUUGGGGAUUGUGUUAGUAAUAAGAAAAGACAGAGGGUGGAAAAAGGAGAAGGUGCUGAUAUAGGUAAAAUAGAUAGGUAAAAUAGGAUGGAAAAAAGAGAAGGUGCUGAUAUAGGUAAAAUAGAGCUUCAAUUUAGAGGGAGAAGAAAAUGAUUCUCUUCCCUGUUUUGGUGGAAAGCCAUUUCAAGCCUCUGGUCCUGGGUUGUGCAGUUGUCAUGACCACUGAGUAAUUGAAUUAAAGUAUAUUCAUUGACUUAUUUUUCCUAUUUAUGACAUAAAUUCCUACUUAUGACUGUUUACAUAAUAAAAUAUUCAAAUACAUUGACAUGCUGUGUGCUAUAUUCUUUCUUUGUAAGAUUGUCCUCUCAAUAUUCUACACAUUGCCUGCUUUGUGAAGUUGUUUCACAACAAUAUAAUCCAUUAUUUAUCCCCAUAUUUUGGUUACUUGGGCAUUCUUUCUCAUUUUUCUCCAUGGGGCCUCAGCUUCCUCAUAGUAUGGUAGCUUUGUUCUAAGAGAAAGCAUUCCAACAGGAACUAUGCAAAAGCUUUGGCAGAUUGUAUGACAUGGCAUGGAAGUCACAUCGUGUCACUUCAACUAUAGUCAUAGGCUUAUCCAGACUCAUAGACUCCUCUUCCCUCACCCUGAUGGGAAGAACACCAUUGCCAUUCUGUAAGACAUUCAUGUGUGAUGGAAUGUCAUGUAAUAUCACAUCUCAGUACAACAUAAUAUAGCAAUGGGUAGCCAUUUAGAGAAAACAUAAUCUGCCACAGUUCACUCUCUGGUCACAAUUUACAUUCCUCCAACAUGGAAAAAAUACUCAUCCUUUCUUUCAAGACCCCCAAAUAUCAUGUGAAUACAAUCAACUCAAAAUCUAGGAUCUUAUCAACUAAGUCAGGUUGAAGUGUGAAUGAGGUUCAGAUAUAGUUCCUCAGGUAUCCCUGAGUAUGCUUCCUCUCAAUUAAAGAUCUUUUAAACAAAGAGACAAAUCACCAAUCCUACCUGAUAUAUAAUAUACAACGGUGGGAGAAGUGUAGGAUAUCCUACACUUCCUCCAGCCAAAGGAGUUAAUGGUCCAUAGUAAUUCCGAAAUCUAGCCAGCAUGUAUUGCCAGUCCCUUGACUGGGGCUCAAUCCUAUUCUUUAGAGUUAUUCCCUGUGGCUCUUGGCUCUGCCAACAAAGCUCUCUCAGGUUUAUCCUUUCCUUUCUAUAAAACUUAGCCUACAUAUGCACUAGAAUGGGAUUUUAAGUCUGUUUCAUACUCAUAGAAAUUAGGGAGCUGAUAAGUCUUCUUUUCCCUUUGUACUCUUCCUGCUCCUAUCACUCCAAGCUGGUAUAAUUUUUUUUAAAGAACUUCAGAGGCUUUUGAGUGUCCUAUUGUAAUGAACUCCAUAACAAUCCACCCACAAAUCUAUUUGAGAUAAAUCCUUCUUUCCUAGGAUCUUUGCUGGAGGAAAGUGUCCCCUGAGUUCUCAGAGGCCCACUGUUUAACAAGGAAGAUAUGUGAGGUGUUUUCAUAAAACCUCAACAGGGCUCUUUGCCUGUUUGAAAGGAUCUGUGAGAUACUAUCUCAAAUCUUUUUUGGGGUUUUAACAGGGCUCUUCAUCUAGAACAUGUUUUCUUUUUAGUGCUAUGAGUUUGAUCUUUGUCCUGAAGCCAUUUCUUAAUUAUAGAAUCAUUUUCCAUCUGAAGAGACUGAGAACAAGAAACAGUUUUAUUUUAUUAUUCUUUCAACUCACAAGCCUUGGCAUCUUUAUAUUAAAUGGUUUGUUCCUUGUCUUAUCUCUCCAUUUUAUUCAUAUUAUAGGUGGCAAGAAGUCAGAUGGUGUUUUUAAUAUUCCUAUUAGUACGUCAUUUGCAUUU
ensembl:lncRNA